ACCUCUGUCGUCAGUUGGACGGUGUUUCCUCUGAAACAUUGGUGCGGCUGGCUCCCGGUUUGAGCGGGCGGGUGUUAAGAAGCGCGGUUUGGCGGGUCAUGUUUCAGAGGACGAAACCGUCGCCUCCCGAGCCCUUUUGGGGAGUUGCAGCGAUGAGAACGAAAAAGGCAUUAAAAUGAAAAAAAAAAUAGAUCAAACGGUGUGUCUGAUAUAUGAAACAACUUCCUCAUAGCUCUUCAAAUAGAGGCUGCCUGACUUUUUGGCUCAAAUCACUUGUGCCACAAAUGAUUUCUUUGAAAACCUGGGCAUUGUUCAAAAGGCAACUCCCUUCCACAAAGAAAAGAGGCGACCACUUCCUCGUGCCUCACACAGAUUGUCAGACGGACUCGCUGAACUGAAUCUUACCACACCAGAGCACAGUCUGUGUUCUGUCAUCUGAAACAACGUAAUGCUGUUCCUAUUAUUUUGUGGCGGAUGUUUUGCGUUGUCUGCAGGGCAAACUUUUGCUCCAGCACCUUCAAUGGGACAAGUGAACAGCACAAGACAGGAAACAACACCUCCAGCUCCCACUACUUCAUAUGUGGACCCACCUUUUGGUACUGGCACAUCUACUAGUGGAUUUGCAAUUCUUCGAACAGCUGUCACUUCUUAUCAGGAGCUAAAUAAGACUACAGUUGAUCCAGUCUUGAGUCCAGCUUAUGCCUGCCCUCACCAUAACCCCACUGCCUCUCUGGGGCACUCUGUUCACUAUGUUGAUAUCAGCAAACCGCUCGCCCACAGGACGCCAUACACGUGGUCUGCGGUUGUGAUGACAUUGGAGGCGGCUUAUGGUAGAGAAAUUAACAUUCAAUUCUCUGGCAAAAAAUCUCUGGUGGACAUUCUUGCAAUAAGCAUGCCAAUUGCACACUCCCUAAAAAACUUGAGACAUCUGUGGUGUUGUGUGACAAAACUGCACAUUUUAGAGUGGCCUUUUAUUGUCCCCUGCACAAGGUGCACCUGUGUAAUGAUCGUGCUGUUUAAUCAGCUUUGUAAUAUGCCACACCAGUCAGGUGGAUGAAUUAUCUUGGCAAAGGAGAAAUGCUCAAAUAUUUGUGCUCUAAAUGUGAGAAAAAUAAGCUUUUUGUGCUUCUGGAAAAUUUCUGGAAUCUUUUAAUUCAGCUCAUGAAGCAACACUACCAACAAAAUUGCGUUUAUAUUUUUGUUUUGUGUAUUUCCCUGGUAGCAAUGUACUGUAUGUAUAUAGUUUAUAUAUAGUUCCACUGAAUAUUAGUUAUCUAUUAUAAUAAUAUUAUUUGUGUUGGAAUAAGAUAUGGAUCAGAUGAGUUUAAGAUUACGUCAAAUAUUCUCUCUUCUAGCUCUAUGACAUCAUUGGUGCGCAGCAACCUAAUCUGGAAUUUCACCUGACUGUGAAAACUGUCCAGAAGGUUUGAUGGAUUAUGAUUCAAUGCAUAACAGGUUAACAUUUUUAUGGCACAUCAUGUGCUGCAACUUAUACAGUAUGCCAAUUUGAACUAUUAUACUACUUACUGAAUUUUCUACGAUAUUUUUAAUUCUGUUUCAGUAAAAACAAAUUAAAGAGAUGCUACAGAGGUUUGUAUUCGACUCUGAAUUCCAACUCGAGAACUCGGGCCUCUUUCUAGAGCUCCGACUUUUUGACCUGAAGGUCACUGACGUCAUGAUUCAACCUAGUUGUUUUUCAGCGUUCCCAGUUGUCUUGAAAGCACCAUAAAUCCAGAGAAUGCCAGACUUUGAUGACAAAGUUUGAUGACAAAGUUUGCCCACAAGAAGGACUGCCAUGCCACCUGAUGUUGUGUAGUAAGCUGUUAGUAGCCCAUGUGUGUCACCCUAAGUCACACCCUUUCCCUCUCAGAAUUUAGCCUCGUGUUCUGAUUAGCCUGUUUUAGAGAAAUGUCAUCAUCGAAUAUUAUAAGAGCUUUCAUUGUCUUCUUAUAUGCCCCCGUUAUUUAUCCUACAGUUCUGACUUGGCUAUACAGGGAAAAUACUGUAAGAAUGGCUGAUGUUCUGAAUGCUGUCGCUGACCAUUUAAAAGUGUUGAACAAAUAGGCAUAUCAACUACAUCCGUCUUGGCUUGCUCAUCAUUGAAUGUCUUAAUCGAAAUUACGGCUUGCCUCUUAUCCGCUCAUCGUUCCCUUAUGACGUAGUUUGUACAUCUCAAUUGUUAUAUAGGUCUAUCUCAUUAGUAUCUAAUCAUUUUAAGCAAUGUUGGAAUUAUGCAUUUCAUUGUUUUGCUUACUUUGUGUAUUAUAAUUAGUUAAUGUGCUUUUCUUCCGCUAGGAGGGGAUACUAUAUAAUGUUGUUGGGUCUGUAACCAUGUUUGCCAGUGAUAGUCACUUCCCAUUCAAAUAUUUUUUUUGGAUGGACAAAUGUGAUUUCAGAUAAUAUUUGCAGGGUUGUUUUGUUUGCACAAUGCGCUGUCUGUGCGUCUGUAUAUUGUCUAUAAAAGUGGAUCCUCGUGAUUGUGUUUUCCUUCCUUUUUAGACCACAAUAGGCCUAAUAAAAUACUUCAAGAAGCU